rnacentral:rRNA from 1 species
UACGUAGGGUGCGAGCGUUAAUCGGAAUUACUGGGCGUAAAGUGUGCGCAGGCGGCCGCGCAAGUCGAGUGUGAAAGCCCCGAGCUUAACUUGGGAAUUGCGCUCGAAACUACGUGGCUGGAGUGUGGCAGAGGAAGGUGGAAUUCCAGGUGUAGCGGUGAAAUGCGUAGAGAUCUGGAGGAACACCGAUGGCGAAGGCAGCCUCU